rnacentral:lncRNA from 1 species
UCAUUCAGUACCACUUCAUGACCACCAUCAUCUAGGUAAGGGGACCCCAACCCCUGGGCCACAGACAGGUCUGUGGCCUGUUAGGAACUGGGCCACACAGCAGCAGGUGAUGUCUUCUGCCAUGAUGCAGCAAGACAGAUGCCGGCCCGUUGAUCUUGGACCUCCCAGCCUCCAGAACUCUGAGAAAUGAAUUUCUGUUCAUUAUAAUUACCCAGUCUCAAGUAUUCUGUUAUAGCAACGCAAAAUGGACUAACACACAUGCUGAAUGAGUCAAUAUUUCCCAAAGUGUGUUUCAUAAAAGUAGGCUAAAUAGAUGUCACAAGUCAAGUGUUCCAUAGUCAAAUAAGAUUGGAAAAUGCUGAAUAUAACAAGUCCAACAAUAAAGAAAUGGCUAACUUAUAAAAGCCAUUAAUAUAUUCACGUUCCUAGAAACCAUCCAAAAGAUAGCUAGAGGUGGCUCACACCUGUAAUCCUAGCACUUCGGGAGGCCAAGGCAGGCAGAUCACCUGAAGUCAGGAACUCAAGACCAGCUGGGCCAAUAUGGCGAAACCCCUUCUCUACUAAAAAUACAAAAAUUAGCCGGGCAUGGUGGUACACGUCUGUAACCGCAGCUACCUGGGAGACUGAGGCAGGAGAAUUGCUUGAACCCAGGAGGCAAAGGUUGCAGUGAGCCGAGAUCAAGCCACUGCAUUCCAGCCUGGGCAACAGAGCGAGACUCUGUUUUUAAAAAAAAUUAAAAAAUAAAUUUAAAAAACCCCAAAAAAUAGCUAGAGCAUGUAAUGUAUCUCAGAUUUCUUUUCUCACAGAUAUUCUUUUCACUAAGCAUCUCAGAAGACUAGUAUUAUAGGGAAUGGACUCUUGAGAUAAGAACUGAGAGGAAAAAGAAAGGUUUAAAUACAGCUAUGUAUCAAGCACUUCAUAUACAUCAUUUAAAAUUAUCUAAUUCUCACAAUAAUCCUAUCAAGUAAUUAACUUGUCUGAGAUCACAAGGUGAAUUAUAGCAGAACCCACAUUUAAAACCUAGCCAACAGUAUGUCUCUGAAGUCCUGCAACAUUGUCUUUUUAAUAAGAAAAAAAUAUCAAAGAGAGUCCUAUGGGGUGUGGUGGAAAGGAAAGAAAAUAAGAAAAGCAAUGGGAACAAGAAACAUUACUGUUGGUACAAAGCCCAAGCAAAAAUGAGUUGAGGCUCUAACAACCCAUUUAAAAACCAAAAGAGAACUUGAACAGACAUUUCACCAAAAAGGUUAUACAAAUAGCAAAUAAGCACAUGAAAAGAUGUUCAACAGCCAUUAAGAAAAUACAAAUUAAAACCACAAUGAGACACCACUAUAUGCCUAUUGGAAUGGCUAAGACAGAAAAUACUGACAUCAAGUGCUGACAAGCAAGCAGACCAACUGGAACUCUUACAUGUUGCUGAGGGGAACACAAAAUGGUGUAGCCACUCUGGAAAGCAGUUGGGCAGUUUGUUAUAAAGUCAAACACUUACCAUAGGACCUGGCAAUCCCAUUCUUGAGUAUUUACACUGGAAAAAUGGAAACUUAAGUUCACACAAAAACCUGAACACAAAUGUUUAUGGCAGCUCUAUUGAAAAUUGUCCCAAACUGGGCCAGGCGCAGUGGCUAACACCUGUAACCCCAGCACUUUGGGAGGAUGAGGCGGGUGGAUCACUUGCGGUCAGGAGUUCGAGAACAGCCUGGCUAACAUGGUGAAACCCUGUCUCUACUAAAAAUACAAAAAUUAGCUGGGCAUUGUGGCAGGUACCUGUAAUCCCAGUGACUUGAGAGGCUGAGGCAGGAGAAUCGCUUGAACCCAGGAGGCGGAGGUUGCAGUGAGCUGUGAUCGCGCCACCGCACUCCAGUCUGGAUGACAGAGUGAGACUCCGUCUCAAAAAAACAAAAAAAGAAAAGAAAAUUGUCCCAAACUGAAAGCAACUUAAAUGUCCUUCAGUGAAUGAAGGGAUAAACAAGGUGUGGUACACAUCCAUACUAUGGAAUACCACUCAACAAUACAAAGGAAUGAAGUAUUGAUAGACACAAGUUGGAUGAAUCUCAAAGGCAUUUUGCUGAGUCUCCCACAGAAGCCAAUCUCAAAAGAUCUCAUACUAUAUGAUUCUAGCUCUAUGACACUGCUGAAAGACAAAACUCUAGUGGUGGAGAACACAUCAGUGGCUGCCAGGGAUUAAAGGGGGGGAAUAUGUGACUACAGAGGGAUUGCAUGAGACAGUCUUUUGGGGUGAUGAAACUGUUCCGCUGUUUGUGGGGUUAUGCGAAUUUACAUGUGUUAAAAUUCACAGAACCGUACAAUAAACCAACAAAAUCCAUUUUACUGUGUGACGAUUUUUUAAAUUAAGAGAAAAAAAGCAGAAAAUGUGUUGAAGCACAUUUUCAUGCCAGUUAUAUGUAAAUAAUAAAAAGUCAUGCCAUGAAUGUCAUAUCAUAGGACACAUAGUUAUUAUUGAAUAACUACAGAUGAGAAUUUUGCAGCUUCACUUGAAUUUUAAAUUUCCACACUUAUUUUAGAUAUAAUUACCUUCUGCUCAGAAUUGUAACAAAAGUUUAGGUGAAAGUAAGGUCCUUC